AGUUAAUUAUUCCAAUCGAUGCGGAAAUAGUGUUAUAUUUUGACGCCGUACCGAAGUACGGCAUAGGAGGGUAGAGACCGCCGGAAAGUAUAAGUGAAUUCAGUAACACUCAGAAUUUGAGUGAUUUUUAAAUAUAAAAUCGUAGGUCUCUACCGAAGGUGGAGGCAGAUGUAAACAUGAAAAUGUGACAAAAAUGGGCAAAAAAGCAGUAAAAGGCAGGCUGUGGAUCGAGUUGAAUAUGACCUUGAUGGACACAAAGCAAGGAUAAAAUAUGAAACAGCGACUUGGAAAAUUCAGUGUUCAUAUUUAGCUGAAGUGUAGUCGGAUCCUUCGCGCUGGUGAGCAAGCAUGCAUCAUCUGCAAAUAGUUUACUCAAAAGAUUCGAGCUGUUGGAAAGGUCGUUUAUGAAACAUAAGAACGCUAAUGGGCCAACUACUGAGCCCUGAACAAUUCCGCAGUGGAUGGGUAACAUUGGGGAUCUAUGGGGACCUAUUUCAACAAAUUGAUACCGGCCUGUCAGGUAAUCGGAUAACAGUUUUCCUGCAUUACCCCUAAAACCGUAAUGUCUUAACUUGUGAAUGAGAAUGGAGUGGUCUACGGUAUCAAAAGCCUUUUUUAGAUCUAGGAAGGCACAACAAACAUACUCGCCUUUGUCUAUUUUAUCAUAUAUAAAUGAUGUCAGAUCAAGGAUAGCAUGACUGGUGGAGUGUUUGGUCUGGAAUCCAAAUUGACAUUUGUUUAUCAAACUGAAUUUAGUACAAUAGCUCAUCAUUCUGGUAUACAACAACUUUUCCAUUAUGAUGCUAAUUGAAGAUAAAAUAGAGAUUGGUCUAUAAUUUGAAGGGUUGUUUUUUUUCCCGCAUUUAAAAAUUGGUAUAACUCUAGCAAGUUUUAAUGAAGAAGGAAAUAUACCUAAAUUGAAUGACGAAUUGAAGAAAUUACUCAAAGCUGGUGAUAUGAUAUCAGCAACUAAUUUCAAAAAAUAAGAGGAAAUACCAUCCGGUCCAACCGCUUUACCCUUUUUCAGGUCCCUGAUUACACAGAGAACUUCUAAAGGUGAUGUUGACUCAAGAAAAAAAGAGUUCUGUAAAGGGACACCCAGGAAUUCAGCAUUUGAUUUGGUACUAUGUGGGAUUUCAUCUGCGAGUUUUUUCCCUAUAGAAGAGAAGAAUUUGUUGAAUUCAGUGGCCACAUAGACGGGGUCUGUCACAGUAGUACCAUUUUCCAAUUUUAAUUCUGAGACGGUGGGGACCUCUCUUGUCUUAAUUUUUAUAAUCUCAUUGAUGGUUUGCCAUGUGCGUUUGACGUCUCCUCUGUUGUUGACUAGAAUAUUGUGGUAGUACUGCUGUUUCGAUUUUCUUAGCAAGUGUGUUAAAAUAUUCUUAUAUUUUUUGAAGUAAUGACGCUGCGAUGCGUUUCCGUUCAGAAACAUUAUUCUGAACAUGGCGUUUUUGUGUUUGAUGGACUUGCGAAUUCCACUGGUUAUCCAGGGCUUGGAAUACAAUUUAUUUUCUCUGCGUGACAGAGGGCGUAAUGGUGCGUGCUUAUUUAUCAACCACUUAAAAUGGCUAAGAAAGAGGUCAAAUGAACUAUUAAAAUUUUCUUUGGAUAAUAUACCACUGGCAUAAUUUCUACACAUCAUCUCAACUUCCAAUCUGAAUGUGUCGGCAGAAAAAUUUGCCAUGUCACGCUUCAUGCGUGUUUUUGUUUGGACUUGAGCACUAGUUGUUGAUAAAGUACACAUAAUAGGAAAAUGAUCGGUGAGAUCACUAAUUAUAAUAAAUGAUGAUGAGCAUGA